AACGGAGGCAGCAGUAGGGGGAUCUUCCACAAUGGACGAAAGUCUGAUGGAGCAACGCCGCGUGAGUGAAGAAGGGUUUCGGCUCGUAAAACUCUGUUGUUAAAGAAGAACAUAUCUGAGAGUAACUGUUCAGGUAUUGACGGUAUUUAACCAGAAAGCCACGGCUAACUACGUGCCAGCAGCCGCGGUAAUACGUAGGUGGCAAGCGUUGUCCGGAUUUAUUGGGCGUAAAGCGAGCGCAGGCGGUUUUUUAAGUCUGAUGUGAAAGCCUUCGGCUCAACCGAAGAAGUGCAUCGGAAACUGGGAAACUUGAGUGCAGAAGAGGACAGUGGAACUCCAUGUGUAGCGGUGAAAUGCGUAGAUAUAUGGAAGAACACCAGUGGCGAAGGCGGCUGUCUGGUCUGUAACUGACGCUGAGGCUCGAAAGUAUGGGUAGCAAACAGGAUUAGAUACCCUGGUAGUCCAUACCGUAAACGAUGAAUGCUAAGUGUUGGAGGGUUUCCGCCCUUCAGUGCUGCAGCUAACGCAUUAAGCAUUCCGCCUGGGGAGUACGGCCGCAAGGCUGAAACUCAAAGGAAUUGACGGGGGCCCGCACAAGCGGUGGAGCAUGUGGUUUAAUUCGAAGCUACGCGAAGAACCUUACCAGGUCUUGACAUACUAUGCAAAUCUAAGAGAUUAGACGUUCCCUUCGGGGACAUGGAUACAGGUGGUGCAUGGUUGUCGUCAGCUCGUGUCGUGAGAUGUUGGGUUAAGUCCCGCAACGAGCGCAACCCUUAUUAUCAGUUGCCAGCAUUAAGUUGGGCACUCUGGUGAGACUGCCGGUGACAAACCGGAGGAAGGUGGGGAUGACGUCAAAUCAUCAUGCCCCUUAUGACCUGGGCUACACACGUGCUACAAUGGAUGGUACAACGAGUUGCGAACUCGCGAGAGUAAGCUAAUCUCUUAAAGCCAUCUCAGUUCGGAUUGUAGGCUGCAACUCGCCUACAUGAAGUCGG
rnacentral:rRNA from 2 species